rnacentral:rRNA from 1 species
ACGCUGGCGGUAUGCCUAAGACAUGCAAGUCGCACGGACUGUUUCGGCAGUUAGUGGCGGACGGGUGAGUAACACGUAGGUGACCUACCCCAAAGUCUGGGACAACUAGGAGAAAUCUUAGCUAAUCCUGGAUGUGAACCUCAGCCGUGGCUGAUGUUUAAAGCUUCGGCGCUUUGGGAUGGGCCUGCGGCGCAUCAGGUAGUUGGUGGGGUAACGGCCCACCAAGCCGACGACGCGUAGCUGGUCUGAGAGGACGACCAGCCACAGGGGUACUGAGACACGGACCCCACUCCUACGGGAGGCAGCAGUUAGGAAUCUUCCGCAAUGGGCGAAAGCCUGACGGAGCGAUACCGCUUGAAGGACGAAGCCCUUCGGGGUGUAAACUUCUGAACUCGGGACGAUAAUGACGGUACCGAGGUAAUAGCACCGGCUAACUCCGUGCCAGCAGCCGCGGUAAUACGGAGGGUGCGAGCGUUACCCGGAUUUACUGGGUGUAAAGGGCGUGUAGGCGGUCUCUCAAGUCCGAUGCUAAAGACCGAAGCUCAACUUCGGGGGUGCGUUGGAUACUGUGAGGCUAGACGGUCGGAGAGGGUAGCGGA